GACGAACGCUGGCGGCGUGCCUAAUACAUGCAAGUCGAACGCAGUGGGGACGGGUGAGUAACACGUGGGUAACCUCCCAUCAGAGGGGAUAACACGUGGAAACAGGUGCUAAACCGAUACUGAUGGAUGGACCCGCGGUGCUUUAGCGAGUUGGUGAGGUAACGGCGCACCAAGGCCACGAUGCAUAGCCGAACUGGAAGGUGGAGCGGCCAGACUGGGACUGAGAGACGGCCCAGACUCCUACGGGAAGCAGCAGUAGUGAAGCUGGGGCAAUGGACGAGAGUCUUACCUGGCAACGCCACGUGAGUGAAGAAGGGCUUCGGAUCGGAAAACUCUGUUGUGGGUGAAGCGGGAGGUAACCAGAAGGCCACGGCUAACUACGUGCCAGCCGCCGCGGUAAUAC
rnacentral:rRNA from 1 species